GCCUAUCAGCAGCACAUAUACUACAAUUGGAAUGAUACAGAGAAGACUAGCAUGGCCCCUGUGUAAAGAUGACACACAAGUUUGUGAAGCCGAGCAAUAAAACUUAUU
rnacentral:snRNA from 1 species